rnacentral:rRNA from 1 species
CUACGGGCGGCUGCAGUGGGGAAUAUUGCACAAUGGAGGAAACUCUGAUGCAGCAACGCCGCGUGGAGGAUGACGCAUUUCGGUGUGUAAACUCCUUUUAUAUGGGAAGAUAAUGACGGUACCAUAUGAAUAAGCACCGGCUAACUCCGUGCCAGCAGCCGCGGUAAUACGGAGGGUGCAAGCGUUACUCGGAAUCACUGGGCGUAAAGCGCGCGCAGGCGGCUAGAUAAGUUGGAAGUGAAAUCCUAUGGCUCAACCAUAGAACUGCUUCCAAAACUGUUUAGCUAGAGUCUGGGAGGGGAAGAUGGAAUUAGUAGUGUAGGGGUAAAAUCCGUAGAGAUUACUAGGAAUACCAAAAGCGAAGGCGAUCUUCUGGAACAGUACUGACGCUGAGGCGCGAAAGCGUUGGGAGCAAACAGGAUUAGAUACCCGAGUAGUC